rnacentral:rRNA from 1 species
CCUACGGGAGGCUGCAGUGAGGAAUAUUGGUCAAUGGACGCAAGUCUGAACCAGCCAUGCCGCGUGCAGGAAGACGGCUCUAUGAGUUGUACACUGCUUUUGUACGGGGGUAAACGCAGAUACGCGUAUCUGUCUGAAAGUAACGUACGAAUAAGGAUCGGCUAACUCCGUGCCAGCAGCCGCGGUAAUACGGAGGAUUCAAGCGUUAGCCGGAUUGAUUGGGGUGAAAGGGUGCGUAGGCGGGCGGUUAAGUUAGAGGUGAAAUCCCGAGGCUCAACUUCCGAAUUGCCUCUGGUACGGUUCGGCUAGGGAGUAGUUGCGGUAGGCGGAAUGUCUGGUGUAGCGGUGAAAUGCUUAGAGAUCAUACAGAACACCGAUUGCGAAGGCAGCUUGCCAGGCUACUUCUGACGUUGAGGCACGAAAGCGUGGGGAGCAAACAGGAUUAGAUACCCGUGUAGUC